GGAGACGUGGCUGAGUGGUCGAAAGCGCGUCACUGCUAAUGACGUGGGGGUCUAAUAGCCCCUCGUGGGUUCGAAUCCCACCGUCUCCG
rnacentral:tRNA from 1 species